CGGAGGGUGCAAGCGUUGUCCGGAUUUAUUGGGUUUAAAGGGUGCGUAGGCGGCUUUUUAAGUCCGGGGUGAAAGCCCGUUGCUCAACAACGGAACUGCCCCGGAAACUGGAGAGCUUGAGUACAGACGAGGGUGGCGGAAUGGACGGUGUAGCGGUGAAAUGCAUAGAUACCGUCCAGAACCCCGAUUGCGAAGCAGCUGCCUAGACUGUAACUGACGCUGAGGCACGAAAGCGUGGGGAGCGAACAGGA
rnacentral:rRNA from 1 species